rnacentral:rRNA from 1 species
UACAGAGGGUGCGAGCGUUAAUCGGAAUUACUGGGCGUAAAGCGUGCGUAGACGGUUACGUAAGUCGGGUGUGAAAGCCCCGGGCUCAACCUGGGAAUUGCAUUCGAGACUGCGUAGCUAGGGUGCGGAAGAGGGAAGCGGAAUUUCGGGUGUAGCGGUGAAAUGCGUAGAUAUCCGAAGGAACAUCAGUGGCGAAAGCGGCUUCCUGGUCCAGCACCGACGUUCAGGCACGAAAGCGUGGGGAGCAAACAGGG